GGGGUUGUACUGGUUUCGACGGGGGUUUUGAAGUUGUGGAAGCCAUUCGCGGCCUAGGACCGCGUCACCAACUUAGAAUUAAAUUUAAACGCAGACGAUAAUUUAGCGUACGCUGCCUAGCGGCAGCUGUCGAACUUAAGUUACUUGCGACUUAAGACCUCGGCAUCAAAUUAGCAAGGCACUUUGCUUUCAAAGCUUUGAGAAAGUAAAAGAAUUUAUGAAGCUACUAAAGUCCAUAGCCUGUCAAUCGGCGAUGUGACGGAGGGAAUGUUAAAAGACUGACUGUAAUGGGAGAUGCCGCAAUGAAUGGGCUUUCGGACAGGGGUUCGAUUCCCCUCAGCUCCA
rnacentral:tmRNA from 1 species